rnacentral:rRNA from 1 species
AAACCGUUGGAAGGGAAGCGAAUGGAGUCGGUAAUACGCCUUGCCUGAUUCAUCCACUCUCGUUCUGCAACGUGCUCUGUCGCGACCUGUCCGCAGGCGUGAAUUGUGCGGUCGUGGUGCGGGUGUGGUGCACUUCGGCGGGCGAGCGUCAACGCCAGUCAAACGCCAGUCACAAAGCUGCAAGCACGGUACAUCCUUCGGAGUGGGUAAGACUUGCGUGCGCACGACUCGCACGAGACUGUCCUCUGUCGCAGCGUGUCCCUUCCCGGCUUGCCGGUACAGGCUGCUGCCUUUGUUGUCGAUCCGGCGGUGCUGUCCAGCGGACGGCUGUGCGCCUGUGCGUCGGCGAUGCCGCUGAUCGUCUGACAUCGAACGCAGACACGACACGCUCAGUACGUUGACCGACCUGCGUCUCCAUCCGACCCGUCUUGAAACACGGACCAAGGAGUCCAACAUGUGCGCGAGUCUCAGGGUGAUUGAAACCCGUCGUGGGCGCAAUGAAGGUAAAUGCGGUCUCGCGGCUGCAGAGAUGAGAAGCGCAUCCGUGCGCCACAUCAUCGACCGACCUGUUCUACUCUUAGAAAGGUUUGAGUUAGAGCGUACCUGUUGGGACCCGAAAGAUGGUGAACUAUGCCUGAAUAGGGCGAAGCCAGCGGAAACACUGG